UACCAGCUCUCUGAGUUGUAGGGAUGAUUAUUGGGCUUAAAGCGUCCGUAGCUGGCUUAGCAAGUCUCCUGUUAAAUUCAGCGACCUAAUCGUUGAGCCGCGGGAGAUACUACUAGGCUAGGAGGCGGGAGAGGUCGACGGUACUUUCGGGGUAGGGGUGAAAUCCUAUAAUCCCGGGAGGACCACCAGUGGCGAAGGCUGUCGACUAGAACGCGCUCGACGGUGAGGGACGAAAGCUGGGGGAGCGAACCGGAUUAGAUACCCGGGUAGUCCCAGCUGUAAACUAUGCGGGCUAGGUGUUGGGGUGGCUACGGGCCACUUCAGUGCCGCAGGAAAGCCAUUAAGCCCGCCGCCUGGGGAGUACGGCCGCAAGGCUGAAACUUAAAGGAAUUGGCGGGGAGCACCACAAGGCGUGAAGCUUGCGGUUC
rnacentral:rRNA from 1 species